rnacentral:misc_RNA from 1 species
GGAACGGAAGGUUUCCUAAAGCCGGACGGAGAUUGGCCCGUGCAAAGGCAGAAGUUGCGAGCACCAGGAACAAAGUGGGUCGAGGGGGGCCAUUGCAGGUUGUUGUGUUCCAAAGAGAGACUGGGCUGGGUCAGCCAUCGGUAAGCCCACGUAAUCCAACCUUUCAAGCCUUUUCUGUUCUGCGUCACUUUCCUGAAAAUUUUCCUGUUAUGUUGUCAUCUGCUGUGGUGCUGCUUGGGUUAUUGUUUUCAUCCAUUUUUUACUUCUAUAGACAAGAAAAUGGGUCAAGCUCAGAGCGAGGUGGCCUCAACCCCAGAGCCAGAGGUAGAUCAAACUCAGAGCCAGCUUUCAUCGUCCGUUACACCACAUAAUUCUCGGCCAGAUACUCCAAUGGAAUCUCUUAUUGCAGGUAGGUAGCUACCUCUCUUUAUUCAAUGCUUCACGUACGCGUAUGUCUAAGGAACCAUGGGCUUUAGGUGUUUGACACAUUUGGACUUGCUGCGGACUUGGUUUAAGUCUUGACUUGUGGUGGCCAGCGCUUUAUUUAUUAUGAUUAAUCUCUUAUUUAGUUUAGUAAGGUUCCACUUAUGCUGAUGGUAUUCCAUCGCAUUGGCGAGCUAUUGAUGUAUGUUGAUAAUAACUCUAUGUUAUUUUGAGAAAUUAACACGUAUUAUGCACUCUGUGCCCCUUUAUUGACCUUGAAUUUUCAUAAUUUGAUUCACAAAUGUUAGAACCUGGAGUUGUCAAAGUCAAAUCGUUCAAAUUUGUUAUGUAAUAUUUUGAUGUGAUAUUAUGUAUGAAAAAGGGUAAUUUCAAAAGUUUAGCUUGUGGUUUAGAGCAUUAUUACUUAAGCGAUAAUAUUUUUAUUUUCAUCAUAUUGGUACAUGGGGUUUAAUGCCUUGUGUUGUCAUUGCAUCUGUUAAUGGAAUGCGGAUGUAGCAUUAUCAUGGAUUAAGUGUUAAAUUACUGCAUCAGCAUUCCAUUAACCAUGCAUAAAGGAUGUGAUAACAUAAAUAUCAGGAUACCAAUUUGAUGAGAAUGAAAGUUUUGUUCCUUGAGUUAUAAUGCAUUAACCACACUGUACAUUUUGAAAUUACCCUACCAACAAUUAUCAGCAAACAUUGUCUUCUUUUUUUUGGUGGUUUAUAGUGUUUGUGUCUUGCUUAAACCAUUACAAAUCGCCAUCUAACUAAAUCAACAAACAGAUAAGGAGUACUAUAGGUUGAAUCUAAUAAUCUAUGACUAUCUUAAAUAGUGAAGUCUAUUGGUACUUGGUAGUGAACUUGACUACUGGGCCUAGGUGGGCAAUAAAUAGAAAAUCAUCUGUUGCUUUCCCACUCAAAAGUGAGAUACAAGAGCAUAGAAUUAAAAUUGGAUAUUCUUCUAUUGAUCUUUGCUCAUCAAUGAGGAUUUAACCCAAAAUCGUU